UUGGGACACAAAGCCAAUGUCCUUACAAAACCAGGCCACAUCUACCGUCUACAAACGAGUAUAAUAAAAUGAGCAUCUUGAAAACGUUCAGAACGCAGGAACUGCUUGCAAAGCACCCUCUGGGGCGCAGGCCUGAGCCCAGUUUCCAUAGGAGCGCGCAGAUCCGGCGCGUAGGGCUCUGUUCCGGAAGUUAUUCCCGUCAGUACCGUUCUUCCUGUCAGAGCUGGUCUCACUUUUCCUCAGGCGUAGGCCGAAGCCGACUGCAGACGAGUUUUGGACGGAAGGGCCUGCCGUAUGGGGGCGUGGCCACGCAGCCGACUCCCCGCCAACACAGUUAACGUGCCGGCAGCGGCCAGUCGGUGGCGGCUGCUCUCGCUUUGUAGACCUCUUGUGGCCUGGCUGGGGACUCCGAACCUCAAUAACGAGGUUGUGAAGAUGAGAAAAGAAGUGAAGAAAAUCUGAGCUUUGGUUUUCUGAAAAUUUGUCAGGAGUGUGAGCAGACUGAAGUCAGAAAAGGGUACUGAAGAUGCACUGUUAAAAAACCAGAGACGGGCAUGAUUGCUUGAAGAAAUCCAUGCCAUGAAGGUAAGGACUUCCGUGGGUGUGUACAUAUGUUGUCUCCAUGUCUCCUGUCAGCCUGCACUUUGUGGGUGUGCAGGGGGUAGAGGUAGUGGUUGUAUUUAUUUGAAUAUUACUUCGAGUUGACUAAGACUUAUUUAUAUGGGUCUGUUUAGUGCAGAAUGUGCACAUCUAGAAAAUUGUAAUGUUUAAGCUUGCCUUUUUCCAUGUCUUUUUAUGGAAUUUGUUAAAGUACUAGACUGAUUUGAGCCUAACAGUGCUAAACUAAACUCCUGUAUAUUUAAUGAUGCCUCAUGCCUAAGGUUUUUGUUUUUACUGUAACGUUAGCCAUAAAGUCUGAGAAGUUCAAGCAGUGAAUGUUCAUGCUGUUUGGCAGUGUGGGUGGUGAUAUUGGAGGCUGACAUCAUGCUUUGCCUAUUGCCAACUCAAUAAAGUUUUGUGUGGUGGUGUCAGCAUUUUAUUCAGCUCUGUAGUAACUUGAGAUAAAAUUAGUGUUGGGUCAAAAUGAUCCAUGUUUUUGUUUCUUUCAGCCAGACUCUUCACUAACAUAAUUUUUAGGUCUUCUCACUGCUGUUACUUUGUGGAAAAUUUCAUUUACCAAAUGACAUACUAUUGAAUGUUUGGGAGACUGUUUUAUUGCAGAACUUAAAAACAGCAUUUGGUACCAACAGUUACCUUAAUUGUAGGGUCAUUUUGCAUGUAUAGCUGACUGUUACGUUUUGGUAUUACUUCUAAGUUUUGAGAUAGAUAAGAAAGCAAGACAAUUCUCCAAUAAUGCUUUAACUGAGUUAGAUUAUCAAAACUUCUCAGCAUGUUUUCCUUUUGAAGAGAUGAUUAAGUGUUUUAUAGGACAAAAUUACCACAGUUAAUCUGAGUCAAAGUUGUAGGACAUGGUUUUUCUUUGGUGUGAAGUAUGUUUUUUGUGAGGUAUUUUCAUUUGUUUUAUUUUCACAAUACUGCAAAAUUCAUGGAAUCUAUUUGAUACAUCAUUCUCAAAGCUCCAGUCCCCUUUUUAUCCAAUCAUUCAGUAAAAAUACCCUAUAUUUGACUUCUGAUUAUCAUUUGUGUCAAUUUGUGUUACACAUUGUUUAGGCUUUUUCAUAUACUGUAUUUUUCCCUAUGAAAUUUCUAUGGAAAUAAAAUCUUAAAAAAAAAAAUCUUUAGAGAUCUUUGUUCUGAGGAUGACACUAAGAUGGGAAAUUACGAUUUAUCCUUUUGCCUCUUUCACUUUCUCUUAACCAAGGUCCUUACUAAAUUACAUUUCUUUAUCUAAAUUUUUCCAUAUGAUUUCUUCUGAAUAGUUUAUAAUCAUAGUCCUAAAUUAUCCAGAGGCU